rnacentral:rRNA from 1 species
AACGAACGCUGGCGGCAUGCCUAACACAUGCAAGUCGAACGAGACCUUCGGGUCUAGUGGCGCACGGGUGCGUAACGCGUGGGAAUCUGCCCUUAGGUACGGAAUAACUCAGGGAAACUUGAGCUAAUACCGUAUAAUGACUUCGGUCCAAAGAUUUAUCGCCUAAGGAUGAGCCCGCGUCGGAUUAGCUAGUUGGUGAGGUAAAAGCUCACCAAGGCGACGAUCCGUAGCGGUCUGAGAGGAUGAUCAGCCACACUGGGACUGAGACACGGCCCAGACUCCUACGGGAGGGCAGCAGUGGGGAAGUAUUGGACAAUGGGGCGGAAAGCCUGAUCCAGCAAUGCCGCGUGAGUGAUGAAGGCCUUAGGGUUGUAAAGCUCUUUUACCCGGGAUGAUAA